GACGAACGCUGGCGGCGUGCCUAAUACAUGCAAGUCGAACGAGAGCAACCGGUGCUUGCACUGGUCAAUCUAGUGGCGAACGGGUGAGUAACACGUGGGUAACCUGCCCAUCAGAGGGGGAUAACAUCCGGAAACGGAUGCUAAAACCGCAUAGGUCUUCGAACCGCAUGGUUUGAAGAGGAAAAGAGGCGCAAGCUUCUGCUGAUGGAUGGACCCGCGGGGCAUUAGCUAGUUGGUGAGGUAACGGCUCACCAAGGCCGUGAUGCAUAGCCGACCUGAGAGGGUGAUCGGCCACACUGGGACUGAGACACGGCCCAAACUCCUACGGGAGGCAGCAGUAGGGAAUCUUCCGCAAUGGACGCAAGCCUGACGGAGCAACGCCGCGUGAGUGAAGAAGGUUUUCGGAUCGUAAAACUCUGUUGUUAGAGAAGAACAAGUGCUAGAGUAACUGUUAGCGCCUUGACGGUAUCUAACCAGAAAGCCACGGCUAACUACGUG
rnacentral:rRNA from 1 species